rnacentral:rRNA from 1 species
UAGGGAAUAUUAGUAAUGGGCGAAAGCCUGAACUAGCAACGCCGCGUGUGCGAAGAAGGCCUUCGGGUUGUAAAGCACUUUUUGAGAGGAUGAGGAAGGACGGUACUCUCAGAGUAAGUCUCGGCUAACUACGUGCCAGCAGCCGCGGUAACACGUAGGAGGCGAACGUUAUCCGGAUUUACUGGGCGUAAAGCGCGUGUAGGUGGUUUGGUAAGUAGGGCGUGAAAGCUCCUGGCUCAACUGGGAGAGGCCGUUCUAAACUGCCGAACUAGAGGAUGGUAGAGGGAGGUGGAAUUCCGGGUGUAGCGGUGGAAUGCGCAGAUAUCCGGAGGAACACCAGUGGCGAAAGCGGCUUCCUGGACCAUUCCUGACACUCAGACGCGAAAGCUAGGGUAGCAAACG